rnacentral:tRNA from 1 species
GCCCGCGGUGGCUCAGAUGGAUAGAGCGUCUGCCAUGUAAGCAGAAGAACCGGGUUCGAGUCCCGGUCGGGGCA